GACGAACGCUGGCGGCGUGCUUAACACAUGCAAGUCGAACGAUGAAGCGGUGCUUGCACCGUGGAUUAGUGGCGAACGGGUGAGUAAUACGUGAGUGACCUACCUUUGACUCUGGGAUAAGCCUGGGAAACUGGGUCUAAUACCGGAUACGACCAAUCUCUGCACGGGGUGUUGGUGGAAGGCGUUAUGGAGUGGUUUUAGAUGGGCUCACGGCCUAUCAGCUUGUUGGUGAGGUAAUGGCUUACCAAGGCGACGACGGGUAGCCGGCCUGAGAGGGUGACCGGCCACACUGGGACUGAGACACGGCCCAGACUCCUACGGGAGGCAGCAGUGGGGAAUAUUGCACAAUGGGCGCAAGCCUGAUGCAGCGACGCCGCGUGAGGGAUGACGGCCUUCGGGUUGUAAACCUCUGUUAGCAUCGAAGAAGCGAAAGUGACGGUAGGUGCAGAGAAAGCGCCGGCUAACUACGUG
rnacentral:rRNA from 1 species